CAGCCGCCACGGUAAUACGUAGGUGGCAAGCGUUGUCCGGAAUUAUUGGGCGUAAAGGGCUCGCAGGCGGUUUCUUAAGUCUGAUGUGAAAGCCCCCGGCUCAACCGGGGAGGGUCAUUGGAAACUGGGAAACUUGAGUGCAGAAGAGGAGAGUGGAAUUCCACGUGUAGCGGUGAAAUGCGUAGAGAUGUGGAGGAACACCAGUGGCGAAGGCGACUCUCUGGUCUGUAACUGACGCUGAGGAGCGAAAGCGUGGGGAGCGAACAGGAUUAGAUACACCGGUAGUCCCUGUCUCUUAUAC
rnacentral:rRNA from 1 species